rnacentral:rRNA from 1 species
GACGAACGCUGGCGGCGUGCUUAACACAUGCAAGUCGAACGGAAAGGCCCUGCUUUUGUGGGGUGCUCGAGUGGCGAACGGGUGAGUAACACGUGAGUAACCUGCCCUUGACUUUGGGAUAACUUCAGGAAAAUGGGGCUAAUACCGGAUAGGAGCUCCUGCUGCAUGGUGGGGGUUGGAAAGUUUCGGCGGUUGGGGAUGGACUCGCGGCUUAUCAGCUUGUUGGUGGGGUAGUUGCUUACCAAGGCUUAGACGGGUAGCCGGCAUGAGAGGGUGAACGGGCUCAAGGGGACUGAGAUACGGCGCAGACUCCUACGGGAGGCAGCAGUCGGGAAUAUUGCACAAUGGGCGGAAGCCUGAUGCAGCAACGCCGCGUGCGUGAUGACGGCCUUCGGGUUGUAAACAGCUUUCGCCUGUGACGAAGCGUGAGUGACGGUAAUGGGUAAAGAAGCAACGGCUAACUACGUG